rnacentral:rRNA from 1 species
GUAAUCACUUGUUCUUUAAAUGAGGACUAGUAUGAAUGGCACCACGAGGGUUAAACUGUCUCCUUUUUCUAAUCAGUGAAACUAAUCUCCCCGUGAAGAAGCGGGGAUUAUUAUAUAAGACGAGAAGACCCUAUGGAGCUUAAAACAAAUUUACACCUGCUUUAAUGUAUUACCCUCCCGAGGACUCACACAAAUUAUAGCACAACUGAUAAUUAGUUUUCGAUUGGGGUGAUCAUGGAGAAAAAAACAACCUCCGCGACGAUAAGGAGAGCACUCCUGAGCCAAAAGCCACAACUUUCAGCACUAAAAAAUUAACGCACUUUGACCCAAUUACUUGAGCAACGAACCAAGUUACCCUAGGGAUAACAGCGCAAUCCACUUCAAGAGCUCAUAUCGACAAGUGGG